rnacentral:misc_RNA from 1 species
ACACCUCAACUCUCAUGGUUUGCCAUGAUGAGCUUGGACUUUGGGGGUCCUGCUGGCCUACGGUCAGCUCCUCUAAAAUGAAUCAGCUUGCCAGUGUUUGGUGGCAUCACAGGUGUGAUAACUAUCUACGCUUGUGGCCCCCCCACCAGGUAACCUCCAGUGAUGGAGGUUCGCUGGGGCUCAUAAAUGUCUCUCCUCAGCGAGGACAGCUUUUUGAAC